UAAAGAUCAGUUUUGUUAUCCGGUUGGGAACAGAAUAGUUUUUAUUGGAAGCAAGAGUGACAAAUUAUCAUCAGCAGUAGUAUUUCCAGAGCAGUAGCAGUAGUAUUUCCCGAGCAGUAGUAUUUCCUGAGCAGUAGCAAUAGUAUUUCCUGAGCAAUAGUAUUUCCUGAGCAGUAGCAAUAGUAUUUCCUGAGCAGUAGCAAUAGUAUUUCCAGAGCAGUAGCAAUAGUAUUUCCUGAGCAGUAGCAAUAGUAUUUCCUGAGCAGUAGCAAUAGUAUUUCCUGAGCAGUAGCAAUAGUAUUUUCUGAGCAGUAGCAAUAGUAUUUCGGGAGCAGUAGCAAUAGUAUUUCCUGAGCAGUAGCAAUAGUAUUUCCUGAGCAGUAGCAAUAGUAUUUCCUGAGCAGUAGCAAUAGUAUUUCCUGAGCAGUAGCAAUAGUAUUUCCAGAGCAGUAGCAAUAGUAUUUCCAGAGCAGUAGCAAUAGUAUUUCCAGAGCAGUAGUAUUUAUUGAACUGAAGCAGUUAAAAAUGUCACAGUUUCAACAGUUUCAACUUCCACAUUCACAACUCUCCCCCAUUCAAUCUCUUUUAUUAUGCAGCUUCUUCAUACACAACAAUAACCAUGUCUGUCUCACUCACAACUGGCAGUAUUUCCCUGGAUGAGCCCAUAGCUAUCAUUUAGACGUAAUUAAACGAGGACUCCGUGACAUGCCCUGGGACAUGGAGAGAUCUGCAUAAUCAAUGACACAGGCUGCCAGGGCCAUGACAACCAGAGAAACUUUGGCAUUGUGGAGGCACACAACAUACCGAUCUGCUGGGGGUUCACAGCGAAUAUUCCUCCGUCUGUCUACAGCUACACACCAAGAGGGACAUCAAGGGGACAGAAAGCUCUGGGUAUGACUGCUACUAUUGACUCUCUUUAGAACUUCAUGACUAUUCGCUCUUGAGAAAAAAAAACUGUUCAUAAUUUGUAGCCAAAUUCCGCAACACCAACGCUAGGCUACUGAUAAGCUAUUGCUACUUAAACAAACACACGUUUUGGGCUGUUGAGGAUCAUUUGGAUAAACU
rnacentral:lncRNA from 13 species